rnacentral:rRNA from 1 species
GACGAACGCUGUUGGCGUGCUUAACACAUGCAAGUCGAACGGAAAGGCCCUGCUUUUGUGGGAUGCUCGAGUGGCGAAAGGGUGAGUAACACGUGAGUCACCUGCCCUUGACUUUGGGAUAACUUCAGGAAACUGGGGCUAAUACCGGAUAGGAGCUCCUGCUGCAUGGUCGGUGUUGUAAAGUUUCGGCGGUUGGGGAUGGACUCGCGGCUUAUCAGCUUGUUGGUGGGGUAGGGGCUUACCAAGGCUUUGACGGGUAGCCGGCCUGAGAGGGUGACCGGCCACAUUGGGACUGAGAUACGGCCCAGACUCCUACGGGAGGCAGCAGUGGGGAAUAUUGCACAAUGGGCGGAAGCCUGAUGCAGCAACGCCGCGUGCGGGAUGACGGCCUUCGGGUUGUAAACCGCUUUCGCCUGUGACGAAGCGUGAGUGACGGUAAUGGGUAAAGAAGCACCGGCUAACUACGUG